UCAGAUCUGUUGAUUCUAUCUUU
rnacentral:snRNA from 1 species